GCCAACAUAGCUCAGUUGGUAGAGCAGCUGAUUCGUAAUCAGCAGGUCUAGGGUUCGAGUCCCUAUGUUGGCUCCA
rnacentral:tRNA from 1 species